rnacentral:rRNA from 1 species
UGGCUCAGGAUGAACGCUAGCUACAGGCUUAACACAUGCAAGUCGAGGGGCAGCAUGGUCUUAGCUUGCUAAGUGCGAUGGCGACCGGCGCACGGGUGAGUAACACGUAUCCAACCUGCCGUCUACUCUUGGACAGCCUUCUGAAAGGAAGAUUAAUACAAGAUGGCAUCAUGAGUCCGCAUGUUCACAUGAUUAAAGGUAUUCCGGUAGACGAUGGGGAUGCGUUCCAUUAGAUAGUAGGCGGGGUAACGGCCCACCUAGUCUUCGAUGGAUAGGGGUUCUGAGAGGAAGGUCCCCCACAUUGGAACUGAGACACGGUCCAAACUCCUACGGGAGGCAGCAGUGAGGAAUAUUGGUCAAUGGGCGAGAGCCUGAACCAGCCAAGUAGCGUGAAGGAUGACUGCCCUAUGGGUUGUAAACUUCUUUUAUAAAGGAAUAAAGUCGGGUAUGGAUACCCGUUUGCAUGUACUUUAUGAAUAAGGAUCGGCUAACUCCGUGCCAGCAGCCGCGGUAAUACGGAGGAUCCGAGCGUUAUCCGGAUUUAUUGGGUUUAAAGGGAGCGUAGAUGGAUGUUUAAGUCAGUUGUGAAAGUUUGCGGCUCAACCGUAAAAUUGCAGUUGAUACUGGAUAUCUUGAGUGCAGUUGAGGCAGGCGGAAUUCGUGGUGUAGCGGUGAAAUGCUUAGAUAUCACGAAGAACUCCGAUUGCGAAGGCAGCUCACUGGACUGCAACUGACACUGAUGCUCGAAAGUGUGGGUAUCAAACAGGAUUAGAUACCCUGGUAGUCCACACAGUAAACGAUGAAUACUCGCUGUUUGCGAUAUACAGUAAGCGGCCAAGCGAAAGCAUUAAGUAUUCCACCUGGGGAGUACGCCGGCAACGGUGAAACUCAAAGGAAUUGACGGGGGCCCGCACAAGCGGAGGAACAUGUGGUUUAAUUCGAUGAUACGCGAGGAACCUUACCCGGGCUUAAAUUGCAGUGGAAUGAUGUGGAAACAUGUCAGUGAGCAAUCACCGCUGUGAAGGUGCUGCAUGGUUGUCGUCAGCUCGUGCCGUGAGGUGUCGGCUUAAGUGCCAUAACGAGCGCAACCCUUAUCUUCAGUUACUAACAGGUCAUGCUGAGGACUCUGGAGAGACUGCCGUCGUAAGAUGUGAGGAAGGUGGGGAUGACGUCAAAUCAGCACGGCCCUUACGUCCGGGGCUACACACGUGUUACAAUGGCAGGUACAGAGAGACGGUCCCUUGCAAAAUGGAUCAAAUCCUUAAAGCCUGUCUCAGUUCGGACUGGGGUCUGCAACCCGACCCCACGAAGCUGGAUUCGCUAGUAAUCGCGCAUCAGCCAUGGCGCGGUGAAUACGUUCCCGGGCUUUGCACUCACCGCCCGUA